rnacentral:precursor_RNA from 1 species
UAAUAGAUUAUCGGUUGAAUUUAACUCCGCUAAGACAGCUAACGAGUUUUUGGACCAUGGACUGUUAAAUAAGC